AAUGAACGCUGGCGGCAUGCCUAACACAUGCAAGUCGAACGAAGCCUUCGGGUUUAGUGGCGCACGGGUGCGUAACGCGUGGGAAUCUGCCCCUUGGUUCGGAAUAACAGUGAGAAAUUACUGCUAAUACCGGAUGAUGACGUAAGUCCAAAGAUUUAUCGCCGAGGGAUGAGCCCGCGUAAGAUUAGGUAGUUGGUGUGGUAAAGGCGCACCAAGCCGACGAUCUUUAGCUGGUCUGAGAGGAUGAUCAGCCACACUGGGACUGAGACACGGCCCA
rnacentral:rRNA from 1 species